GAAAAAGCUAUGAAAAGAAGAGUAAGUAUAAGAAGUAGUUCAAGCGAGUUGGUGAGGGUGCAAGGCCAAUACGAAGCUUAUACUGAAGAACCUCUUGGAGUUUCUAACCGAAAUCUUUAGGAGAGAGUAGGCUUAGACGGGUACAAUCCGUUAUUUAUUGUACAACAUCGAAUGCUUUAUAAGUGUAUUCUGUGUUGGAAAAGUGAACGAUAGAAUCGUUAACUAGGGUGGUACCGCGAAGUAAACCUUUCGUCCCUUUA
rnacentral:ncRNA from 1 species